rnacentral:lncRNA from 1 species
GUCAGACUCUAGAAGGCUUUGUGAGAAGCUAAUGUGAUAUCAGUGGAUACGGGAAACCCAAGAGAAGACUAGUGCAACUCCGGUUGGAUCGAGAUCAGUUCAUAAGACAUCCAACUAGUUAACCUAGUUUAGCUUUUCUUCUUUGCUUUCUGCUUCUAAAUUAGCCUUCUAGUUUAGAUUUAACCUUAUAGUUCUCUAUUAUUUCCCGCUUUCCAGUUCUAGUUUAGAAUCAAAGCCUUCUAGUUAUUUUUUUUUAUUUUCUUGCUUCCAAAAUAUUAAUAAAAAUAAAAAAUAUUGCUUCAUCUUUUGUAGUUCUAAAAAAUCCCAAUCCAAGGUAGGAGAGGCCUUGUUCUGGUCUUAUCGGAUUUAUCCUAGCGAUAUUUGUAACCCCAGCUUGUCUCCUACUCGCAAGUAUCCUUGACCUAUUGCUUCCACAAUCCAGUUGGGUCGAACUCUAGGCCUAUGUUAGAACUCAGAACUCUCUCAGUUUGACUACAAUUCCAUCCUAGUCACAGGAUUUGAUAGCUGGAAUUCCUAUACUUAGGGACUAGUUUCUUUUGGCUCUUAUCACAGGGAAAAAUCAUAGUUGUGCCAAUUAUUUGCAUUGUUAUACUCAAAAAUUAAUUUCUUUCGAGCCUCCAUUACAAGACAAAAUGUGAUUUAAGCAUUACACCACAAGACCAAAUAUAGUUUUAGAUCUUGUCAUGGGCCUAAUUAUGGCCGUAGUCAUAAAGACGGUGAGAGUGAAUAAAAUGUAACUGAAUUGUUGGGAAACUCAUAAUGUUCUUGCCACUUUUAUUAUAGUUUAAUUGUUCUACCUGUUUUCCAAGUCAUCACAUGUUGAUUUUGUAAGCUAAUUGAUUGUUUACAAGACCAAGUAUUGGUACUCUAUGUUUCAUAAAUUUACUUCCAAGAUUUUUGAAAUUAUUACUUAUUAUUUACAUAUUUAUUCAAGCUUUUAAUCCUGCUGCUGGUGAAUGGUGAUAAUGGUAGCUUACCAUGCUUUUCGCUCACUUCUCUAUGUGCUUUAUUUUCUUUCGAAUUUUGAGGGUAGCUGGUUGGAUGUUGCAUUAGGAGGACCGAUCAAUAAAGGUUUAGGAAUUAGAAUUUUUGUCCUCUUUUUUUCUAUCUUUUAGCUGUGACUGAAGCUCAUUGGUAUUGUGUUUGAUAGUACUGUGGAGAAAAUGUGACAUGCUUCGUUCUAUUAGGUGAUGUUUCGUGGUUGGAGGCUAGUUGCAUCGAUGCUCUGACCUCUACCUAUGAUGUUGGAUAUUAAAUAAAAUGUUUCUUUGUGGUUUCUUGUUGGAAUUGUGUAAUACAUGUAUUAGGCCUAGCAUGUCUCGUGGGGCUAAGUCCAAUGGGAAAUGCAGCCAUUUAUCACAUACCUAGCUCAUGCAGUUAGGUCAAGGGCAUCAUAAAUAUAGUAGCAUCACAGUGAACUUGGUUAAUGUCCCAUGUGGAACAGGGGACAUUGCAACACGAGCCCUUUUGGAGCUGGCCAUAAGGCAAUCAUGGUAUUCAUAAUUGAAUUUGGAUCUUUCGCUUAGUGACAAUACCAGGGAGUAAAUAAGGAGAGUUUGUGAAGACUGUUUAGUCCCAAACUGGUUAUGCACAGAGUAUACCCUACGUACUUAUAUGAGGCAAAAGAAUCCAAAUGAUAACUUUUGGCUAGUUUUUUGGGUGAGGUUCUAAGCCGUUUCAAGUAAUUCUCAAGCAAUCCAAGUCUUAGCGAUUAUAUUUAUAUCUAAAUUAAUAAACAGAAAACCAUCCUGAAUUCCUGAUAGUCAAAAAGAUACAACUAAUUGAAGAAAAAGGCUAUAUCAAUAGAUCUUAUUUGCGAUUAUAGAAAAACAUGAUUUCCACAUAUAAUUGUUUUAUUUUGAAUUAAAUAUGAGACAGAAAUAGAUCAAAAUUUAUCCAAGAUUUAGACGAUUGAUUGCGAGGGGUACUACUACUGACUCAUGAUUGAUAAACUUAGUCUUCAAAACAACCAUUAUCUUAAGAUUAUAGAAGAUUGGAAACAACUAGGAGUAUAAUUCUAGGGAAUUCAAUAGAGAGAUGACGUUAUUUAGAAGCAAGAGAAUUUGGGGAAUUUUUAUAGACAUCACAUGGAGAAAGAAGAGACAAAAUUUAUGCUCAAAUUUAUGAGAUAAUGCUUAAAUCUUAUGAAUAGUUAAAAAAGAUGCAUAUGAUUGCAG